CACCGCCGCGGCUGCCGCAGGUGAAGUGAGGUGAGCUCCGGUCGGGUCUGCGCUGCCACAGGGAGGCCGCCUGGGCCAGGCGAGCCGAACCAAUACUGGACCUGGAGGUGGUGCCUGAACGCUCUUUAAGGAACGAGCAAUGGAAAUUCACACUGGGAAUGCCUCUGGCUCAGGCAGUAGCCAUUCUUCAGAAGCACUGUCGCAUCAUCAAAAAUGUCCAGGCUCUCUACAGUGAACAGGUGAUCGAAGUAUAUGAUUUGACUAAAGUAAAGUUAAAAUAUUGUGGCGUGCAUUUUAAUUCUCAGGCCAUAGCUCCUACCAUUGAGCAGAUUGACCAGUCUUUUGGUGCAACCCAUCCUGGAGUGUACAACUCCACUGAGCAGCUCUUCCAUCUCAACUUCAGAGGACUGUCUUUCUCUUUUCAAUUAGACUCAUGGACCGAGGCUCCCAAGUAUGAGCCCAAUUUUGCCCACGGCCUGGCUUCUCUCCAGAUACCCCAUGGAGCAACUGUAAAACGAAUGUAUAUCUACAGUGGCAACAGCCUACAGGAUACCAAGGCUCCCAUGAUGCCUCUGAGCUGUUUCCUGGGCAAUGUGUAUGCUGAGAGUGUAGAUGUUCUUCGAGAUGGAACUGGACCUGCAGGUUUACAACUUUGCCUACUUACUGUAGGUUGUGGACCUGGCCUAUUAGCAGAUGCCAAGAUGCAGGUAUUUGAACGUUCAGUGUAUUUUGGUGAUUCCUGCCAAGAUGCUCUCAGCAUGCUUGGCUCUCCACACAAAGUCUUUUAUAAAUCAGAAAACAAGAUGAAAAUUCAUUCUCCUUCCCCUCAUAAACAAGUUCCAUCGAAGUGCAAUGACUACUUUUUUAACUAUUUCACUCUUGGAGUGGACAUCCUCUUUGAUGCAAAUACACACAAAGUGAAGAAGUUCGUUCUACACACCAGUUACCCUGGGCAUUAUAAUUUCAACAUUUAUCAUCGCUGUGAGUUAAAGAUCCCAUUAGCCAUAAAGAAAGAAAACGCAGAUGGUCAGACAGAAACGUGCACAACCUACAGUAAGUGGAACAACAUCCAGGAGCUCCUAGGUCACCCUGUGGAGAAGGCUGUUGUCCUGCACAGGUCUUCCUCCCCAAACACCACCAGCCCAUUUGGCUCCACGUUCUGCUUUGGUCUUCAGCAAAUGAUCUUUGAGGUCAUGCAGAACAACCACAUUGCCUCGGUGACCCUGUAUGGCCCCCCCUAGGCCUGGUACCCACCUGAGAACAUCGGAGCUCCCCUAGGGACAUCACAACUCAUGCCCCUCUGUCCCGUUUAACUGUGCCUCACAUCCUGCCCAGUGGGCCUCUGUACCACCCUGUGGGUUUUCUUGGACACCUGGCCAGUGUUGAAGGGCUGCUGUGAUAUUCUGAAGUUGGUCUCAGGCUGGGUGCUCUGCCAUGGGCUGAGCGGCCCAGAUAUUCUUCUGUCCAUCCUCGGCCUGCUGAUGUCAGCAGGGGACACAGACUGCAAAGAGAAGCACAAACUUUGAGCCUUGAUUCCUGGACCCAGGAGCUCUCAACUAACGUGCAAGGAAG